AUUGAACGCUGGCGGCAGGCCUAACACAUGCAAGUCGAACGAGUGGCGGACGGGUGAGUAAUGUCUGGGAAACUGCCCGAUGGAGGGGGAUAACUACUGGAAACGGUAGCUAAUACCGCAUACCAUCGGAUGUGCCCAGGUGGGAUUAGCUAGUAGGUGGGGUAACGGCUCACCUAGUCGACGAUCCCUAGCUGGUCUGAGAGGAUGAUGCUCCACCCGGGAACUAAGAUCAGUUCCAAACUCCGACGGGGGGCAGCAGUGGGGAAUCUUGCACAAGGGGCGCAAGCCUGAUUCAGCCAUGCCGCGUGUAUGAAGAAGGCCUGCGGGUUGUAAAGUACUUUCAGCGAGGAGGCGUUACUCGCAGAAGAAGCACCGGCUAACUCCGUGCCAGCAGCCGCGGUAAUUC
rnacentral:rRNA from 1 species